UUCUUAAGAUGGUUAGGUCUAAAAAUACGGUUGAAAGGUGUCAUGGCACUUGUCGUUAUGAAUUUCCACAUUGUUACAGACCAAUUGGGGCAUAGAGUAAAACUCUUUGGCUAUAGCCGAUACUUUUGGUAAAAAGCGGCCAGGUAUACGAGGAAAAUCAUGAUGCUCAACGUGGUAUCCAAGAUUGUAUGUAAAGUAAUUCAUAGUACCGUAAUAACUAUUUGUUUCUUGAAACGAGUCUCCCUACAAGUGUUUAAAAACAAAAUUUAGAGGAAGUUUAAGGAAAAUCAAGCAAAAGUAAAAAAAACAAGUAAAAUACUUUUGGGAAAACAUAAUGUUCCGAAAUAAAGUGUCCAGCAAAAGGAUGAUAAUUCAUUGCUAUUGUAAUGCAAAGACAAUCAAGGGAAAUACAUGCUACAACAAAUCAGACGUGAAAAAAGGAAACCCCACCAAAAAAAGUUCCUAAAAUAAGAUAUAAUAAGGAAUUGAUACUCCAAUAGUAGGCAAUAAGAAAAUCAACAAUAAUAACGGAGAUAAUAUUAACAAAGUCAAGGCGUGACAUCUAGUGGAAAACGUGGCAUCUUAUUGAUACUAUAUUAUAUAUGAAAAAUAAAAUACGUUACUUUUUUAGGAUUUACAAGAAAUGGUCGUAAACUAUAUGUAAACGGAAGUAAACCAAUCCAAAUGAAUUUUCCUAAAAGAGAUUGGAACAAUCGAGCUUCCAAACGGGUUGGAAGGUCAGGAUCAAGCCCUUCAACUCCUAAAUAAACAUGGUGAUCUUGAUGAUACCGUGCGAAAGGUCUACAAAGAAGAUACAAGAGUUUUUUUUUUUUAGUUUCGAUGGGGUUUUGAGAAUCACCAUACAUAGCGACGGGUACAGCCAUUGGUAAGGAAACUAGAAUACUCAAUAGAUAACUUAAUAAUCCCUCUGGUACAACAGUUCCAUGAGACGUCUCAUGAACAGCAGCAAACAAUGAAUGAUUUAAUGUUCCGGAAAUAAAAUAGAUUAUUAAAAAGAAAUUCCAAUAGGAUAAUGUAUAAGAUGAAACAUAAUAACUGAUAAAAAAUUGUAAAAAGACGGUUGAAAACAUUAGGAUGGCUUGGAUAGGAUCUGUCCCGUAAAGCUCUUCUAUUUCAGGGUAUUUUUUUAAUAUAGCUCGGCGUCGAAAACAAUGUGGAUGAGGCGAAUUGAUCCGUAUAAAGUCCGUUAACUUGGAAUUGGGAAAACAACUUGAAAGAAAAAACAAAGUAAAAGUUAAUUGAAGAAAAAAAAAUUUUUUUUUUUGAAUUGUUUGUUCGUUUUUUACGAUUUGUGGCCUAAUUUGUAUUAAAAAACGACAAGAAAGCGAAAUUACAG